rnacentral:misc_RNA from 1 species
CGCAUAUUGCGCCCUUUGGUAUUCCGAAGGGCAUGCCUGUUCGAGCGUCAUUAUCAACUAUCAAGCCUGGCUUGUUGUUAGACUUUUGGUUUUAGGACCGGUCUGAAAGGUAGCAGAUGGGAUCUGGUAGCCCUUGAUAUAAUAAGCUGUUUAUAGCACAUAUCUAUAGGCUAGCAGCCCUAUCUUUAAACCCCUAAUUUUCUCAGGUUGACCUCGGAUCAGGUAGGAAUACCCGCUGAACUUAA